rnacentral:sRNA from 1 species
CACAAUCGAAUUCGAAACUUACAAUUCGUAAUAAGAAAUUACCUUUUACAGCUUUAUUUAACAAAGGUUUCAUGUAAAAAGAAUGGUAGGGACCGCGCGAACGCAGGCCCCCUCUGCCACAAAUAAUGACGCAGGCUCUCCCACUUGGGGAGACCUUAAGCUAAGCACCCCUCCGUUAUGUGCAAUGGAGGUCACUAGCCUAGGCCACUCGUCUUAUUGAUCACAAGUUGACCCCGUCCAGGUAAGUAAUUUUCACAGACUGUCCACAUCUUCAGUUAUACUCUGCUUCCUCAAUCAUUCUUUC